ACGCUGGCGGCAGGCCUAACACAUGCAAGUCGAGCGGUAGAGAGAAGCUUGCUUCUCUUGAGAGCGGCGGACGGGUGAGUAAUGCCUAGGAAUCUGCCUGGUAGUGGGGGAUAACGUUCGGAAACGGACGCCAAUACCGCAUACGUCCUACGGGAGAAAGCAGGGGACCUUCGGGCCUUGCGCUAUCAGAUGAGCCUAGGUCGGAUUAGCUAGUUGGUGAGGUAAUGGCUCACCAAGGCGACGAUCCGUAACUGGUCUGAGAGGAUGAUCAGUCACACUGGAACUGAGACACGGUCCAGACUCCUACGGGAGGCAGCAGUGGGGAAUAUUGGACAAUGGGCGAAAGCCUGAUCCAGCCAUGCCGCGUGUGUGAAGAAGGUCUUCGGAUUGUAAAGCACUUUAAGUUGGGAGGAAGGGCAGUUACCUAAUACGUGAUUGUUUUGACGUUACCGACAGAAUAAGCACCGGCUAACUCUGUGCCAGCAGCCGCGGUAAUACAGAGGGUGCAAGCGUUAAUCGGAAUUACUGGGCGUAAAGCGCGCGUAGGUGGUUUGUUAAGUUGGAUGUGAAAUCCCCGGGCUCAACCUGGGAACUGCAUUCAAAACUGACUGACUAGAGUAUGGUAGAGGGUGGUGGAAUUUCCUGUGUAGCGGUGAAAUGCGUAGAUAUAGGAAGGAACACCAGUGGCGAAGGCGACCACCUGGACUGAUACUGACACUGAGGUGCGAAAGCGUGGGGAGCAAAC
rnacentral:rRNA from 1 species